rnacentral:rRNA from 1 species
AGUGAACGCUGGCGGUAGGCCUGACACAUGCAAGUCGAACGGCAGCACAGUAAGAGCUUGCUCUUACGGGUGGCGAGUGGCGGACGGGUGAGGAAUACAUCGGAAUCUACUUUUUCGUGGGGGAUAACGUAGGGAAACUUACGCUAAUACCGCAUACGACCUACGGGUGAAAGCAGUGGAUCUUCGGACCUUGCGCGAUUGAAUGAGCCGAUGUCGGAUUAGCUAGUUGGCGGGGUAAAGGCCCACCAAGGCGACGAUCCGUAGCUGGUCUGAGAGGAUGAUCAGCCACACUGGAACUGAGACACGGUCCAGACUCCUACGGGAGGCAGCAGUGGGGAAUAUUGGACAAUGGGCGCAAGCCUGAUCCAGCCAUACCGCGUGGGUGGAGAAGGCCUUCGGGUUGUAAAGCCCUUUUGUUGGGAAAGAAAAGCAGCAGGUUAAUACCCCGCUGUUCUGACGGUACCCAAAGAAUAAGCACCGGCUAACUUCGUG